rnacentral:lncRNA from 1 species
AGUGAUUUGUGUCAAAGACACACGCUGAUAGACCCUCUUAGCAGAACUCGGGCUGCAAAUCUUACUGGUGAUCUCACUUACUUAAACCAUCUGAGGAAACAGGAGGGCUGGGAGAGAGAAGUCACUGUACAACUCUCUCUGAACAGUGACCAAAUGUUCAACCAGAUGCAUGAGGAAUGGGCUAAAUGCAAACCUCAACUCAACCCUUCUGGAAGAGGAGUAAAGGUUCUGGUGAUACUCAACUAUGUAUUUUCUUGUCUGGAAUCAGGAAGCUACAAUUCACUGCAAGGGAAGCUGAGAGCAAGUUUGUAGAAUUCUAAUCUGCAUAGUAGAAUUAUCAAUCAUCAUACUUGAUAGAGCUGGAAAUCCAGCCUGUGUGGGUGAUAAAGUCUGGGUGAGUAAAGAUCAUAUCAGACCUUCUGGAAACACAGCAGGCUCUCUCUGAGUCCAUCCGCAUCCACAUGGGAGCUUUCUGCAUUCGUUGGUAUGUAUCAUGCCACGUCCACAUCAUCUGGACCAGAUGCACUCUUCAAUCUUGGAGUUAUGCAAUGCACUGUAAACUGCAGAGUACUGUAACAUUAGGCAUAGGCAACAACCCCACUUGGACUACACGUGGACUCUGCAGUGAAAUACAGCCCGUGCCCAGGACAUUACCAAACUCAGAGCUGCA